GGAGAGGUGGCCGAGCGGCCGAAGGCAGCGGUUUGCUAAACCGUAGAGGGGACAAAAUCUCCUCCGCGGGUUCGAAUCCCGCCCUCUCCG
rnacentral:tRNA from 1 species